rnacentral:rRNA from 1 species
AUCCAACAGCACAUCACACUGAAUGUUCCUCAUCUUGUCUAAUUUUGGAAGCUAAGCAGGGUUGGGCCUGGAUAGUACUUGAAUGGGAGCCCACUAGGAAUAUCAAAGACCUGAAAC